GAUGAACGCUGGCGGCGUGCCUAAUACAUGCAAGUCGAGCGAACAGACGAGGAGCUUGCUCCUCUGACGUUAGCGGCGGACGGGUGAGUAACACGUGGAUAACCUACUUAUAAGACUGGGAUAACUUCGGGAAACCGGAGCUAAUACCGGAUAAUAUAUUGAACCGCAUGGUUCAAUAGUGAAAGACGGUUUUGCUGUCACUUAUAGAUGGAUCCGCGCCGCAUUAGCUAGUUGGUAAGGUAACGGCUUACCAAGGCAACGAUGCGUAGCCGACCUGAGAGGGUGAUCGGCCACACUGGAACUGAGACACGGUCCAGACUCCUACGGGAGGCAGCAGUAGGGAAUCUUCCGCAAAGGGCGAAAGCCUGACGGAGCAACGCCGCGUGAGUGAUGAAGGUCUUCGGAUCGUAAAACUCUGUUAUUAGGGAAGAACAAAUGUGUAAGUAACUAUGCACGUCUUGACGGUACCUAAUCAGAAAGCCACGGCUAACUACGUG
rnacentral:rRNA from 1 species